rnacentral:rRNA from 1 species
CGGCGAGUGAAGCGGCAACAGCUCAAAUUUGAAAUCUGGCCCUCGGGUCCGAGUUGUAAUUUGUAGAGGAUGCUUUUGGUGAGGUACCUUCCGAGUUCCCUGGAACGGGACGCCAUAGAGGGUGAGAGCCCCGUCUGGUUGGAUACCGAUCCUCUGUAAAGCUCCUUCGACGAGUCGAGUAGUUUGGGAAUGCUGCUCUAAAUGGGAGGUAUAUGUCUUCUAAAGCUAAAUAUUGGCCAGAGACCGAUAGCGCACAAGUAGAGUGAUCGAAAGAUGAAAAGCACUUUGAAAAGAGAGUUAAAAAGUACGUGAAAUUGUUGAAAGGGAAGCGCUUAUGACCAGACUUGGACUUGGUUGAUCAUCCUGGGUUCUCCCUGGUGCACUCUUCCAGUUCAGGCCAGCAUCAGUUCGCUGCGGGGGAUAAAAGUUUUGGGAAUGUGGCUCCCUCGGGAGUGUUAUAGCCCAUUGCAUAAUACCCUGCUCCGGACUGAGGUUCGCGCAUCUGCAAGGAUGCUGGCGUAAUGGUCAUCAGCGACCCGUCUUGAAACACGGACCAAGGAGUCGUCUUCGUAUGCGAGUGUUCGGGUGUUAAACCCCUACGCGUAAUGAAAGUGAACGCAGGUGAGAGCUUCGGCGCAUCAUCGACCGAUCCUGAUGUUCUCGGAUGGAUUUGAGUAAGAGCAUACGGGGCCGGACCCGAAAGAAGGUGAACUAUGCCUGUAUAGGGUGAAGCCAGAGGAAACUCUGGUGGAGGCUCGCAGCGGUUCUGACGUGCAAAUCGAUCGUCAAAUAUGG